rnacentral:rRNA from 1 species
GACGACGCUGGCGGCGUGCUAUACAUGCAAGUCGAGCGGUGAACCCGACUGAAAGCCUUCGGGCUUGACGUUGGGGGAUCAGCGGCGGAUGGGUGAGUAACGCGUGGGUACCUGCCCUAAAGUCUGGGAUAACAACUCGAAGGGGUUGCUAAUACCGGAUGUGACCGAGAGGUUAAAGGCAGAGAUGUCGCUUUAGGAUGGGCCCGCGUCCCAUUAGCUAGUUGGUGAGGUAAGGGCUCACCAAGGCUGCGAUGGGUAGCCGGCCUGAGAGGGUGGACGGCCACACUGGGACUGAGACACGGCCCAGACUCCUACGGGAGGCAGCAGUAGGGAAUUUUCCGCAAUGGACGGAAGUCUGACGGAGCGACGCCGCGUGGGGGAAGAAGGCCUUCGGGUUGUAAACCUCUGUCUUCAGGGACGAAGAGGGUGUGGGAGACACACCGAAGCCGGUACCUGAGGAGGAAGCCCCGGCUAACUACGUG